CUACCUCUGCAGCACCAGUCCCCAGGUGGCACGGAUUGACUGUCCUCCCAGACGAAUUAUUACUGCAGUACCCACAGGGGCCAGCUUCAGUCUGAUUCCUGGGGCUGCCAGGACAUCACAGCCAUGGGGCCUGAGCCUCUAACCUGACAGCCAGCCGAGGAGCUUCCAGUGCCAAUUGAAAACUUCUCCCUUGGACUCAGCUCCCUCCAAGUCCUGGGCAGGGGACAAGUACCGGCAGCCAUGCAGGAGCCCAGAGGAGACUGUCUGCAGUGACCUUGCAGAGUCAGGACAGCCCUGGGGAAAAGCUACCUAGAUCCUGGAGAGAAAUCCAUCUCCCUCACCCUAUGCUUGCAGACCUUGGGAGCUCCAGGUCAACAGACUGCAAGGGAGACUGGGGACACGACACGGAGAAGAAUCGCCACACUCCUCCACCCCUGGCAGGAGAAAUUGGAAUGGUGCAGAGCCAAUGAUCAGUCUCAGUUGUCUUGGAAUGAGAAGUCCCUUGUGCCCACCCCACAGGAACACACAGAGGCCGUCCCAAAACCCUUGAUCCCCUGUACUGGAGCCCAGCAUUCCUGAUCCACCCACUGUACUAGUCGACCCAGGAGACCUGGCUGUUGGGCUGCAAAACCCUGCAGGGAGUCCUCUGCUUCUGGCCCAUGUCCUUGGCCCUUUCCUAAAGACCGGCCAGGGUAGACCAGGUUGGUGGAGACACAGCUUCCUGGAAUGCUCGAAUGAGCUAUGAGUUCUGGAUGACGCCAUCUUGGAUUUGGUCAGCUCCUGGGGAAUCCUCUUCCUGGCCUGUUCCCCAGUAGAAAGCCUGGUGUCCGGUGAGCCCUGGGCUCCAGUCCCAGUCUCUUCUGGAUCCCUCCAAAUCUUGAACACAGGUGGAUCAGGAAGGUGGAGCCCCAUGCCUACUUCUAGGUCACACUGGGAAUUUGUCCUUUAUAUUGGUUUUGGAACCCACUCCCCCCCACACACCUUCAUCCACCCUGCUUACUGUGUCUCUCUUUUGUUUUAUGUUGUCUGUGUCCUAUCUCCUUCCACCCUCACGACCUGCACUUUUGGCUCAAGAUAGCACUGAGCUGGGGUUGAGAGAUUUGGGGAUCUUUCUGGGGGUGUUCACAGCCAUGUUCCCUGAAAGCCAUCCCCCAGAGACUCUGGGAGAGAUGGGGUAAUUUUGCUUCCUUCCCAGCUAUGAUUUAUGGGCUGCUGUGUCUUUCACAGUUAAGAGAACAUUUUAGAGUAUUCCUGGAAGCGUGUCUCAGGAAGUGCCAAUUAACCCCAGAAACCUGUGGAGGGGGAGUUGAAGUCCUGGGCUUCUGACCAGAUUUGGUCUCACAUUUAGAAACCCUGUGUACCCAGGGCUGUGGCUGAGUCUGAGUUUAGGACGAAGACCAAGUGUGGACCUGUGAGUCCGCCUCUGCUGGGUGCUCAUGAUCCCUUCAUUACUCACCCGACCACUCAUUCAUUUGUUUAUCAUGACCCUCUAAUUUAUUCCUAGUCACUCAUUUAUUCCCAUUGGUCAGUUUUUAAAUUUAUGCAUUUCUUCUUGACUUGUUUACUCAUUCAUAUACUCAUCCAUUGAUUCUUUUUAUGUCUGGCUUUAUUGAGGCACAAUACACAGGACACAUUUAAUGAGCAUAAUUUCCCUUGAAAUUAUGAAUCGAUAAAGGAAGUGUGAAAUACCUACACAUCGGGGUGCCCUCCCAUCAUGAAGAAUGGGAUCCUGUUGUUUGUGGCAUGGAACUGGAGAAGCUUAUGUGAAGCCAGGCAUGGAAAGACAAAUACUGAGCUUGUUCUUAGUUCUAUGUGGAAGUUAAAACAGUUGGUCUUAGAGAAGUAGGGCGUAUCAUAGUGGUUACCAGAGGCUGGGAAGGUUGAGGAGAGAGAGGGAGGUUGAUUAAUGGGUACAAAAAUACAGUUAGACGGGAAGAGCAAGUUUCUGUAUUUUAUAACACAAUAGGGUGACUACAGUUAUCAGUAGUG